GACGAACGCUGGCGGCGUGCCUAAUACAUGCAAGUAGAACGCUGAAGGAGGAGCUUGCUUCUCCGGAUGAUUUGCGAACGGGUGAGUAACGCGUAGGUAACCUGCCUGGUAGCGGGGGAUAACUAUUGGAAACGAUAGCUAAUACCGCAUAAGAGUAGAUGUUCCAUGACAUUUGCUUAAAAGGUGCAAUUUCAUCACUACCAGAUGGACCUGCGGUGUAUUAGCUAGUUGGUGGGGUAAAGGCUUAUCAAGGCGACGAUACAUAGCCGACCCGGGAGGGUGGUCGGCCCAAAUGGGAAUGGAGCCCCGCCCAGGACCCUAAGGGAGGCAGCCGUUGGGAAUCUUCGGCAAUGGACGGAAAUCUGACCGAACAACGCCGCGUGGGUGAAGAAGGGUUUCGGGUCGUAAAGCUCCGUUGUAAGGGAAAAAAGAGUGUGAGAGUGGAAAGUUCACACUGUGACGGUAUCUUACCAGAAAGCGACGGCUAACUACGUG
rnacentral:rRNA from 1 species